AGGGGAAGGGGUUGGGCCAGAGGCGGAGAUGAUCUCAUCGCAGAGGGUGUGACCAAGUAGGUAUUGGUUUCUCUGGUCGAACGUCAUGUUGCACCUGCGCUGUCAGUUGGUAAUUUUCCCGGGCACGGGAUGGUGCCUGUGCUACAAAGUAACAAUUUUCGCGGCCACGCAGGGGGAAAAACAAGUGAAGAAGAAGCAGGAAGAGCGCCAUCUAUUAUGAGAAACCUAAAAUGUACAUUGAAAGAAGAUUUGUUCACAUAUCCCAGGAUGGCAAACUAUAGCUCUGGCAGGUGAGAGAGCAAGAAGUCAAGGUCCUAUUACAAGGUGAAACAAGGGAAGAAAAGAAAAAAUGAAAUCUGCUAAAUGAGUUGUAGUUUUAUUCAUGCUGAGAAGAAAUACAAAGAAAACUGCUUUGAUUCCUGCUUUUAGACAUUUGGCCCCAAAUGAUAAUUGCUUGCUCCACUGGUCUUCCAGAAGAUAUAGUUUCCCAGCAGUCAAUGUCUAUACAGCCCUUCUUGAAAUUCUUCCACAGUGAAUCUUUGGAAUCUUCCUUGCCUCCAGUAAUUCUACUUGAGCCCAGCACACAGAAACUUUAAAUGUGUGUAUUCCUGGUCUUUUUAAGUGAAAGGCACAGAAUAUGGCAAUCUCUUUAUUCAGAAAAAAAGUAGGCAGUUCAUCCCAAGGAAUGCAGCACUCAGCAGAGAGGAGACCUGGAGUGGGUAGCGUCUAUCCAGAGGCAAGUCUUCCCGAUAUCUGUACAGCUCUCAGCAGAGAGAAGACACAGAGUGGGCAGCUCCUAUCUGCAGGCAGGUUGUCCCAUUGAGUCUGCAGCCUUCAGCAGAGGGAAGACCUGGAAUGAGUAGCUCCUAACCACAGGAAGGUCAUCCCAACAUCUCUAUGAGGAAGUUUAAUCCAAAAGUGAUGGAAGAAGACAGCUCUCUGCCAAGGAGAGAGGGCGCCAAGUGGUUGCCCACUAUCAGGCUGGGGUCCGGGAUUUUUAUGGACUGGGAAGAGGAAUUCAUUAUCUGGAAGUAUGAUGGACAGAGUGAGCAUAUAUGGAAAUAACACUUUGAAGCUUCUUUGGACACUGGGAACUAACUGCUGUCAGAGGUUGAACAUGCUCUUGAAAUAAAACUACCCCAGGCAACACAAGCAAGUUUUAAAGAACAUCUGUUGAACACUAACAGAAACAUAAGUUAUGUGAAAUAAAAAAUGAGCUAU